ensembl:snoRNA small nucleolar RNA, C/D box 4B
AGUGCUGGUGAUGGGCCUGUUAGUGACCAAAGCCUAACUUGUGCUGAUUAGUCAGAACUGACUGAGUGCACU